AGGAAUUUUUAUGAAGACUAGUGCAAGAAGGAUGUCCACGAACGAAGACAUACCUUCCUUUACUAAUAGAUAAAGAAAGAAAGACUCUACCAAAGGUUAUAUGAUUAAGACCAAUGUGAAAAUAUCGAGAAAAACAUGUUCUUGUAGGGCUAGGUUUAAACUAGAAUUUAUAGAAAGAUUAACAGAUUCCCUAGGUGUAGCUAAAAGUUCAUUAUCUUCUUGAUUAAAAGAUAGGACCUCAGCUAUAGAAAAGGGUUGGUUUUGACCUAUUGCAACCAACUCCGGACACAAAUCAUAAUUAGGGUCAAAGAAAGGACUUGUUGACUCCCAUGGUCUAUGGCUAGUCUUUGAAGGUGCAAAAAAUUCAAUAAUAGGUGUGGAAUUUGAGUUAUCCAUAAAGAUGGAAAAAAUAAAAAGAUAAAAGAAUAAAAGUAUAAAAGUAUAAUACAAGAUAAUAGCAAGACUUAAAGUUAUCUCAGCAAACCGUCUUUCUCCCCGGC
rnacentral:lncRNA from 1 species